UGGGCAAUCUGCCCUUCUCUUCGGAAUAAGCGUUGGAAACGACGUCUAAUGCCGAAUACGACCUCCUUUCGCAUGAUCGGAGGUGGAAAGCUCCGGCGGAGAAGGAUGAGCUCGCGGCCUAUCAGCUAGUUGGUGUGGGUAAUGGCCCACCAAGGCGACGACGGGUAGCCGGCCUGAGAGGGUGACCGGCCACACUGGGACUGAGACACGGCCCAGACUCCUACGGGGAGCAGCAGG
rnacentral:rRNA from 1 species